rnacentral:lncRNA from 1 species
CCCAGGGUCCUUUGACCCUUUAAUUAGUUCUCUUUUCCCCUCCUAGAAAAACUACGCAAGGCACUCUCUUUUAAAGUUUAAAUAACAUGUAACUUUUACUUAGCGCAUUUGCACGUUAAAAUAUACAAUGUGGGUAGGCGAUACUUAAGUCGCUCAAACAUCUUACACAGAUUAAACUUUUACAGACAAACUUAACUCUCUGACUCUGAGGCAGACAGCAGCACAACAAUUCAUACCUGCUGCUCUAACUGUUAAAACUGUUGAACUAACUGCCACAACUGCCACAGAGUGAAUGGCAUCUUGGGGUUUUACAGCUCUUGCAACUAACCCUUUACAUAUGCAUUUUGGAUGCUAACACCCCACACCUGAGAUUCUUGGACAGCUGAGCAGCAGUCUCUCUCUCUCUCUCCCCAUUCACACAAAUAAAAAGCAGCAAAACCCCUGAGAGGUAGCCACCUGACGACUGCCAUUUUGUUUCCCCCACAGCACACCUGACUGACACUGUGCCUGUGCCAGGCCUGGUCCUUAGUGCUUAAAAAACAUAUUUCAAGUGGUAAAAAAUAAAGCUUCACAUAAUUAUAUCUGAAAUCCUUGCAACAGGCUCAUGAGGACCAAUUUUAUUACCCCUCCAUUGCAGGUAGAAGGCUGAGGCUGAAAGAAUAAUGGGGUGUUUCGGGCCGCCAAGCAAAUUUGCUGCUGAGAUUUAAACGCAUUGUUUUCCAGCUUACACUUUCCAGCUUGCACUAAACCUCACCAGCUCAUAAAGACAGGGUCCGUUUCAUUCUGUAUGUGUGGGUAAAAUUUGGUUCAUCAGUGAUACGGGCAAGAAAACACUUGCAAGUCCUAAUAACCUCAAACCCAUUUAAAUGGGUGUGAGGUUUUGAAAGAGGUGAAUGGCUUGCCCUACGGUGCUGGCCCUACCAUUAGGCAGCGUGAGGUGAUGGAGGGGGAAAGCUGUGCGCACCCCCUGCACCCCCAAGCUAGCUUGCUGCUGUUUGAUUUAGUGAAGGCUGCUGUCCUGUCAGCAGUGUUGAAGUAAAUUGAACUGCUGGUCCAGUGAGCUUUUGUAUAUUGAACGGAGGAGGCUGCCACCUGUGCCUCAGGCAGCAAAAUGUCUUGGGCUGGCUGAAGUUACAGCUGGAAACCCAUGCAGUUCACUCUCAUGUUGUGAGGCUUUAAAUCGUCCUGGGCUGGCAGCUUCCAGCCUAGAGCUUGUGGCAAAAUGACAGAAACCACCCCUGCCUCUGAACCCCUAGUGACCUUGAACUUGGUUCCUUUUAAAAUGCAACCUCAGGGUAGCCAACAACAUUCCCCUCCUCCUUAAUAAUAAGUAGUGAAAACUGAAUGGCACUAAGAAUAUGUCUGCUUGUAUGUAUGAUCGUUGCUAGGUAAAUGUACAAUACAAGUCAUGGAUGCCUGCACACUCUCACUGGAAGUUAGCAAUUCAUUAUUUCUGUGCAUAAACACCAUUAUAAUGUACAAGAACACCAUAAAUCUCUCCCUUUCCCUCUCUCUCUCUCUAUCUCUGACCAGGACAUAUAAGUGUCAAAGUUCUGCACCAGGUGACCUGUUUAUUCAUCCUGAUUUGCUUGCUCCAAAGUUUAUGAGAAGGUUAGACAAUGUCCGGUCUUUAUUUGUUGUCAUUUGUUUGCAGUGAGGUUAUACAACGCUGAGGAUUCAUCCUGAUUUGCUUACAGCAAUUUUAUAUGCCUUCCCCCUUAAUCAUUUGAUCUUCCCACUCUUUUCAAUGUAUUCCCGAACUGCAAAAAGUCUAUUUUUUAAAGCGGCUUUGUUGCAACAUAGCACUUUAAUCAUGCAAACCUACAUUUCUGGUAUGUGCUUAAAUUUCUUCUGCAAAAUGCCAACAGUCUGGAGGCAGCCUAAAUGAAUAUCUAAGUCAGUGGUUCCCAAAAACCUACCCGCUUGCAUGGAUCACUUGAAAAUUGCUAAUGGGCUUUGCAGACUACCUAAUGAUUAUUCUGCCUGUGUUGCAUGCUGUUUGAUUUGUAGUUGUCCUUUUUUGGCUUAUUUUAUUUCUUACAUUGUGUUUUAUUGUAUUAUAAUUUGCACCUCAUAGAUUUCAUAUUGUAACACAAUAGAAUAUGAUUUAAGAAAGAAAAGAUGCAAUAAAAUAAAAUAAAAUAUCAACAUGAAUAUUCAGGCAUGCUGCAGACCACCUGAAUGAAACUUGUGGUUCACUGGUGGUAUCCUGAUCUUCAGGGACUUUCUUGAAGAUCUUAGGAACUCCUGAUCUUCAGGGACUUUUGAUCUGCAUGUGCAUAGAAUGGGCACCUAGCUCUCAUUUGGCAUAGUUAAACGUGUGAGAGUUCAGCCUAUUGUGCACAGAAAUGUGAGUCUGAACAUAUGGAAGUCAGAGGUAAAGGUAGCAAACCAAUUUAGUGCUUAUGUGGGUCUUCUAAAUAGUUUGAGAUGCAAAUUAAAUAGUAUGCCCCUAGACAUUAUGAAUAUGAUGCUACUUCUAAAAGCAUUCUCAGCCUACCAGUACAUUACUCUGUACUCUUAGGAUAAUCAGGAAUGUCAAUGCAAGCCCACUGUGGCUGGUGUUCUGACAUAGGUCUUCCGAAAACAAGGGGUGGUGAAUAGUGUCUUGAUCUCUCCCUCCCACCUCCGCCCAUCUUUCCUUGGCUUGAUGUGCCUCUUGUACUUAAGAACCGACUGAAGAGAACAAAGAGAAAAGUAGAGAAAACCCAAACCUGUGGUGCCCCUUGAGUUUUCAUUGAGGAUGAGUGAAGCAGAGCUAUCUCAUGUUUACAUGUUUUCAAGCACUGUAUACACUCAAGUUGUUUCAAGCUACUGCUACCUGUUGUUAUUUGCCGUGUGGCAGUGCGGAAUAGCCCUAUAAUAAAUAUUUUUUUUAAUGUACAUGUAGCUUCAACAUUUAUGAUAACAUAUUUAGUUCUUUGACUGUAUGAUUCAAAAGUACCUAGAUGGAGAUAGGGUUACAAGUUUGCUGCAUUUAUUGCAUGAAGGAACUGAUCCAUAAAUAUAUCAACAGUGUUUCCCAGUUGUUGUAUGAAAGAUCUUGAUGGAUAAUUUUUUCCCCUUUUAUAACAAAUUUAUUUUCUUUGAUGAGAUGAGAUAUUACACUCCAUUUUAACUUGGAUUUUAUGAUAUACUAACAGGGCAAGGGGUUAGAAACCCCCACUGUGUAAACUAUUAACAGCUGUUCAUUUUUUUACUUGUCUACAGGUUUCAAACAAAUAAGGCCAAGAAGGCAAGCUAUGGUUAAACGUAGAAUACUUUGCAAAAUGAAGCAAGGCCACUUUAGCAUUGGACCUCAUUAGAGGGGUCAUCGUGUUCAUUGCUUAUGUAGGCCAAACUCAUGACUUAUGAAUAGUCAUGCAAUUGUUUCAUGAAUAUUCAGCAACAGCGAUAAUAAACUAGAGCAAACUAGUACGGUUCAUCUUAAAACAGAUACGGGUAUGGGAAACAGUACAACAAACCCAUCAUUGCCUGUGGUGUUCACGUUCAUUUCUUUUGCCCCAUCAUGGCUGCUGGUCAAAUAGCUUUUGCAGGUUUAAGAAGCAUUACAAAAGCCUACCUAACCUGUUUGAUCAGAUAUGAUAGCGGGGGCAAAGUAAAUUAAUGGAUACAUCACUAACAAUGAACAUACUCUCUUCAGCUCUCUGAAAUACUAUUUUGCUCUCCCAGUUUAAUUUACUGCUCUUCCUCAAAGUUCAGCUUUGCUUCCCACACAACUUGUUCCUUACUAACUGCUAUGAAAACUUGUUUCGCUCCCCCUCUUUCUCUUUCACAUUGACUUCAGAAUAAAUUUUCAUGCAAUAGCAGGAGCUUUCCCCUGGUCAACCUGGAAACACCAGGGAUUGAACCAGAGACUGAGUACAAAACAAAUGUUCUGCCACUGAAGUCUACAGGUCUGUUGGCCUGUCCUUUUGAAAGUAUGCAGAAGGCUGCUGUACUGGGUAGAAAAAAAUACCUCCUUUGCCAGCACGGCAUGAUCUAUCCUUUCAUAGCCAGCUUGCCCUGAUGUGUUGGCUUGCGAUAGUAGCAUAGAAAGAAACUGUGCGUUCUUAUCGAAUUUGUACACCAAGCCGAUACAUGUAAGACAUCCCUAUGAAGACAAUUUUAAGUGACCUCAAGUGGCAGCUGUAUCUUGCGCAGCACCAUUUGACUACAGUGCCUGCGUGUGGAGAGUGAAUGACUCUAAUGCCAUAUCUACACUACACUACACUACACUACACUACACUACACUACACUACACUAUAGUGGUAGUACUUCAGUUUGAUUGCUGUGGCCUUUAUUUCUCUCCCACAAAGAAAUUGGGCUAUUGUAGUUUGGUGAAAGGGACGCGGGUGGUGCUGUGGGUUAAACCACAGAGCCUAGGGCUUGCCGAUCAGAAGGUCGGCGGCUACGGGGUGAGCUCCCGUUACUCAGUCCCAGCUCCUGCCAACCUAGCAGUUCGAAAGCACGCCAAAGUGCAAGUAGAUAAAUAGGUACCGCUCCGGCGGGAAGGUAAAUGGCGUUUCCGUGUGCUGUUCUGGUUCGCCAGAAGCAGCUUAGUCAUGCUGGCCACAUGACCCGGAAGCUGUACGUUGGCUCCCUCGGCCAAUAAAGUGAGAUGAGGGCCGCAACCCCAGAGUCGGCCACGACUGGACGUAAUGGUCAGGGGUCCCUUUAUCUUAGUUUGGUGAAGGUGCUGGGUCUAUUAGAGAUCAUUAUCCCCCUCCUCACAGACCUGCAGUUCCCAAGAUUCCAUGUGGAGGAGCAAUAAUAUCAAGCCAGCUUAAGAUAUGCCCUUUGAGACUAUGAAAAUGUAGUGUUUAGCCAAUUAGCCUAAUAAAACACUCGGGCUUUAGCCAUUUCAUUGAUGCAAUGUCCGUUUACUCUGUAUGUUUUUGUGUUGGUGAUGUAUACCAUAUUUGUUUUAGCUUAAUAAUAUACCAGAUUUUGUCUCCCAAAAUGUAUUUCUUUGGCUGGCAGUUUUCCAGCUUCUUUCCUUUCCAUUUAUUUAGCAUAAUAAGUUUUGAAAUUAUUAAACUCACACGAUAAGGUAGCUAGAUUCAUAUAGCACGCUGAAAUGCAGAAACCUUGAUAGAAUCCCACAUUUAAAAUCAUGUUUCCUAGGAAACGACUUUUUGUAAGUAACUAUUUCCAAAUUCCUUUAUGCAUAUGAGUUGCUCCCUACCCUCAGUGGCUCACUCACAUUGAUUGCUCACAUGUUUGAUAUGCCAACUAGCUGCUUUCUUGCACAACACAAAACAAGUAUGUCUAUUUUAAAUCAGAAAUGUUGGUGGCUACAUCAGUUAGUUAGUUAGUUCAUUAAAUUUGUCAGUCACUUUACCUUGCCCAGGGCAACACAAAGCAACUUGCAACCCAACAAACAGACAAUAAACCCCACGUAAAUACAUUGAAAGCAAGAGGAAAGAGAAAUACAGUAAAAGCAUCCCACCGGUCAGAUCACAGUGAAACAUGGAAUGUUCAGGAUACUGGUGUAAACUGUAGGUGGUAGUUACGGGUACAAGGUGUGUGGGGGUCAAUUUAAAAACCAUUGCACAAGACUUUCAGAGUUAGGAAUAGUUUUCACUUCUUUUGCUCCAAUUCACAAGAGAGAAUCUUCUUAAUAAUGCAUUUCAGAAUUAUAAAAAAAAUCUACCACCCUCCGACAUUUCCAAUUCUCCUGCCACCCGACAGGACAAAAAGUCUGCAUUUUAGUGAGGAUGCUGUGCUUGAUGCGGUGCAGUAAAAGGUUGAAGGUAAAUCUCCCAACAGUGUACUCUUAGCAUCAAGCCAGCCCAUUGUUCACAGCCACCUAGCAAAUCUGUGUGAUCUGAAAUAAAAGUGAAUGCUAUGAAGAGCACUGCAGGGCACGGAUGUCCAGAUUCAUAGCCCAAGCUUCCUUUUCCGCUGCAGAGUAAUUCUGCUGCCAGGGAAAGAAUUUUUGACUAAAAAUAGAAAGAAGUGAAGGAUUCUCUGUUGUUCUGAGAUGGCACCACCUCUGUAUAGAGGUUGGCACCAGCCAUAUCCAACCCCUUGCAAGGCCAGGAUCUUUACACCAAACAAGUGUGUGGUAGGAGAGGCAAGGGAGGAAUGUUUGGCUUGAAUGCGGUGAAGCCUUGAACAAUUGUCCAAACUGUUGUGAGAAGUUGUAGCCCUUCAAUUAUGUAAUAUAAUUUAUUUGGAGAGAGUCUCCCCCAUGUCUCCCUCUUGCUUGCUUGCUUGCUUGCUUGCUUGCUUACACACACACACACACACAGAGAGAGAGAGAGAGAGAGAGAGAGAGAGAGAGAGAGCGCUCUCCGUAUCACCAUAGUUUCCUUGCUAGAAAUGCCAAGUUUCGGUGUGAUUUUUUCAAUAUAUAUAUAUAUAUAUAUAUAUAGUCUGCAGAAGAAACAAAUUACUAUGCACUACAAAACAGAACUGGCAUUUCAAAUUUAAAACAGAUGACAUCAGCAUUACACAUGGAACCAGACACCAUCAAAUCAUAUGCCACCUCAUAAAUAUUCAAGCUGGUGGGGCAAAAGAAAUGUAAAGUGCAUGGCUGGCCAACAGGGCUCUCCAGGGACUGGGAGCAGGGCGGAGGGAGAUUCCUUUCUUGGAGGCUUUUAAAUAAUGCAUGUAUGCAGUCCGUUCUGAGUAGCCUAUAGGGAGGCAACUCAGCAGCGUCUGCAGAUUUCUUUCGGGGUCUGCAUUACACUGUGGUUUAUGAGAAUGGAGCAAAUGAAACCUAGCAAUGGUUCUUAGCAUAGGAUAGAAAUGACCAUUUGACACAGGGAUGGGGGAAACUGUUGGAUAUUGUUGGUCUCCUGCUCCCAUCAGGCCCAGGGCAGCCUGUCCAAAGAUCAGGGAAGAUGGGAGCUGGAGUUCAGCAUCAUUUGGAGAGCCACGGUUUUCCCGUUCCUUAUUUCGUGGAGUCCAUAAAGCAAUGUGUGAAAACAUGAGGAAAGGCCUAAUAGUGGCAUAGGCACCCCCAGGCACCAUUUUUAUUGCACAUUUGCGAUGAUUUGUUCUCAUGAUGCUUUCGGAGUGGUCACAUGUGACCCAGUUUUCAAUACAGUUUGUGCCUUCAAAUUUUUUGGGGUGGUCAAAUUGCUUCAUUUCCAAUCAGUGCAUAUCCCAUAGCAGGGGUCAGCAACCUUUUUCAGCCAUGGGCCGGUCCACUGUCCCUCAGACCAUGUGGUGGGCCGGACUAUAUUUUGAAAAAAAAAAAAUGAACGAAUUCCUAUGCCCCACAAAUAACCCAGAGAUGCAUUUUAAAUAAAAGGACACAUUCUAUUCAUGUAAAAACACACUGAUUCCCGGACCGUCCGCGGGCCAGACUGAGAAGGCGAUUGGGCCUCAUCUGGCCCCUGGGCCUUAGUUUGCCUACCCCUGCCCUAUAGCACUCUGCUGAAAUCCUGUAACUUUCCAAACCACAAAUGCUCUGGUUUAUUUUUGAAAUACUUUCUGUGGUGGGAAAACAGGGACCUUCAGUCCUUGCGACUGCUUCAUUGGGGCAAGACCUGCUGCUGUGACCACUAGGACUGAGCUGUUUUGUUUCCUUGAGUAAUGAGUUGACGACACUAACAUAAGGUAUUUUACUUCUGACCUUUGCCUGACUCCACCUCUGGACAGCAGGUCAGCUCCAUGCUUCUCCCCCACCACACUGGUCAUUACAGGAUUUGCUGUGAACCCUGAGAAUGUCAAAUCAGAAGUAAGUCUGACUGAAUUCAGCAGGACUUACUCCAAGAUUUCAGCCUUACAUAUAAAUAAUAAGCACUACCCCAAUGCACAGCCUCUUAAAUAGAUCUCCCAUCUAGCGGCUGAUUAAUGUCAACCGUGACAGGACAGGAUUUGGUCCCUGACAAUUCACUGGGGCCUCCUAGCGACAUUCUAGUCUAGACUGCAGGGCAAUGUCUGAGGGUGCUGAAGUCCAGGAAACAAUUUGGGAAAGGCAACUGAAUAGCAGAGAAACAGGGUGCAGGAACAAAGGUAUUUCUGAAAUAAUACCACUUAGAAGUAGAAGGGAAAUUCCUGUGCGUGAUGUGGAUAUAAAUCUAAAGUUUGCGGUAUCCAAACUAGAUCACAGCAUGCCUUUGGAAAGGGUCCAUAGACGGGCAGCCGCUGUCAGAACCAUCUGUUAUUGCUGAAUGCCUCAUCAUUCACAAUACAACUGAGCAUCCAAAGAUGCUGAAUCUUCAAUUUCACUUUACAUUCCCUGGAAUUUUUCUAACCUUAGGUAUCCCCUCUCUCUUUAAUUUUGCUAUGAGUUCAUCAAAUGUUUGCUCGGAUUCUUGAAGGUAGGAAAGGAAAUGAGCUCAGACAAGGCUCACAGCGGCAUUACUUCGCCACGUGUUGCAUGGGCAACAGGGAAAAUGAACUCAUUGCACAGAGAAGAUAUGCAGAACAUUAAAAAGGAAAGAUAUGAAACGCUCUGUUUUGUUUUGCGCUCUGCAGAAAGCCUUUUCUGAACCUUUCCAAAUCCUUCUAUAAUGAGACAGAUAUGUAACAAUAAUGAAAACACUGGGUUUUCGCACUCAAUCCCCCAAAUCCUAAAGGGUGGGCACUUUUGGCUGCUCACACUCAGGACAUUGGUUGGGGAGGACAAGGCAUUCCUGUGAGAGACUUUGUGGGUUUUAAUGAGUAUUUCCUUGGCUCCUUUUAAGAUCUGUGGAAAUCCUAGCCUGCCAGGAGCUAAGGGUGUUCAGGUGCCUUCAUGGCUUAACCUGAGGUUCUGUCUGUGACUGUUCUCUACAAAUUCAAGCUGUACAGACUCUCAAGCUCAAGUGUAAUUGCAAAGGGGGAAAGAAAGAUAGCAGCCUGAUCUGUAGGGUUUCAUGUGAUCAUGUGCACAUGUUGUUAGACAUUCCCUAAUUCCCUAGGCAGAAAAAAAUAAUCUAGGGGCAGUGCUACUCAGUUUGCCAUCCUUUUGCAGGAUCUGUCUGCCAGAUGGACAGGCAUCUGACUGACACAGUUUCCAGUACCCUUUCAACAAAAUUCUCCAGUAUCCCUAGCUGCUGCUGAGAUGAUAGACUUCUUCAGAUGGGAGAAGGAAACAUCUAUUUUCCAGUAUAUGAUUACUGCAAAGCUCUCUGCUUUGCCAUAUAGUAGCUAUCUGAAACCUUUUCCACCUAGCACCGCUAACUACAAAAAGAGAUUUUUUAAAAUAAAAGAUGUUCACCCUAAUUAUAUGCAUGUAUACUUGGAGGAAUGUCCCAAGUAAUAGGAAUGCAUAGGAUGACAGCCUUUGUUUAUCUUAAAACAAGAACACUAUCCUAUGCAGCGCAUAUUUCAGUUUUUCCAAAUUUGGGUCGGUACCUGGCUCAUGUUCCAAUAAUGUAUUGGGUUUGGCUGUGUUUAAAUCUAUUUUUGCUCUGUCCUUUCUUUUUCUUUUCUUUCUUUCUUUUUUUUUUUUUUGCAACACAGGGUCUUCACUUCUGCUUUGUGCCAGUAGAGGAUUUUUCAAAAAACAAACACAGCUCCUGGGAAGCCUCUGCAGAUUCCUCCCAAAGUGCGUAAUGGAAACAGGUGAAGUGUAAACAACACGCUCACCCACUUGUCUCGCUCCUCUUAGAAUAUUCCAACAAUGUCUUUAUUUAGUGACAGUUUGAGAGAUGCUUACAAAUAAGUAGCUAAAGAUUUUCCUAUGGCUGAGAGUUUUCAAAUACAUAAAAUAAAUAAUCUGGGACCGGGGGGUGGGGGGUGGGGAGAAGUCUUAAGAUUGUGAUCAAAAAUAUUUGGGGCAAAAACAGCACUAUGUACUGGAAAUAGUUGGAUUAAAUUUAGUACAUUCGUUUUUAAGAAAUGGAUACCUGACAAACCAGAAAAAUCUAAAAAUAGAACCAUGAUAUUCAGCAUUGAGAUAUUUAGGCAUUUCCUUCAAAUAAGAUAUAAUAACCAUAUAAUUUAGCUUCAUGUGCAUGUUGUGCUUCCAAAUAAUGUAGUUGCAGUGUUUCUAAUCAACGCCCACCCAUCUCAUUAUUUUCCUUUUACUAUGCUUGCCAUACGUCAGAAAAAAUCCUGACAUGACCUCGUUUGUGGGUGUAAAAAUGGCAUCCGGAUGGAUGGCUACGCGAUGGAAAAAGCAGUGGAAAUAGCUCAAGAAGCUUAAAAUCACAGUUUUGGUGGGUUUUCUUUAAAAAAGCAUGUUGCGGGUGUCAGGAAUUUUAUUCCACCUAUUCACCAAAGUUGUUUCCAGCCCAUGGGCCAAAUGUGAUUGCUUGGACUCUACCCAGGCCACACCCCAUCCUUAGCCACACCCCCUACCAGCCCUGCUUUGCAUUUUCUUUGCUAGUUUUUGCCUGGCUAAACUCUGGUAAUGACUUUUGCUUGUUUGGAUGGAGGGUAGAGAGACAAUUGCUACUGGUUUUUUGUACCCCCAGUGAGGCCAUGACUGACUCCAGUUAUGAAGGCUGCUGCUGAAGAUGCCAGAAACCAUCUUGCUAUAGAUCCUGAACGAUUUGGCCCCUGCCCUCUGUUUGGCUCCUUCCCACACAGCCUUGGAGGGUGGCACCCUGACUGACUCCAGCUGCAAAGGUUGCUUCUGCGGCUCAAGGUGAGAGGCCAGAGAGAUUUGGUUUGGAGAUGAUUAUUUUUGCUGCUAGCUGGACUAUAUUAUUGGGUUUUCAUUAUUAGAAUUUACUAUAAUCAGUGGGUUAUUUAAUUUUAUGGUAUUAUUGUAUCACUAAUACUCGGGGCUUUUUUUCAGGGGGUAUUCAAGGGCACCUUUUUUUGUUAAAAAGUGUGGCACUUACUGUAACAACUUCAUGGUGAAUACUGGCACCUAUUUUUCUAGGGGAAAAACACUGCUACUACUACCACUGCUACUACUAUUAAUUACCCACCCUUCACCCUAAGGUCCCAUGAAUGUGAGACAUUCUUUUAGGGAAUUGUUUAUAUGACUAUUUAAAUUUUGUUAAGGUUUGUAGUUCAUAGGGAGUUAUAAUCCAUAAAUAUUUUGAUGUUGUGAGCCACUUUGAACAUGGUUUGAGCUUGGAAAGGUAAAGGUAAAGGGACCCCUGACUAUUAGGUCCAGUCGUGACCGACUCUGGGGUUGCAGCGCUCAUCUCGCUUUAUUGGCCGAGGGAGCCGGCAUACAGCUUCCGGGUCAUGUGGCCAGAAUGACUAAGCUGUUUCUGGCGAACCAGAGCAGCACACGGAUAUGCCGUUUACCUUCCCGCCGGAGCGGUACCUAUUUAUCUACUUGCACUUUAACGUGCUUUUGAACUGCUAGGUUGGCAGGAGCAGGAACCAGGCAACGGGAGCUCACCCCAUCACAGGGAUUCGAACCGCCAGCCUUCUGAUCGGCAAGUCCUAGGCUCUGUGGUUUAACCCACAGCGCCACCCGUGUCCCUUGAGCUUGGAAAAGCAGCAUACAAAUAAAUGAUGGUGAUGAUUUCCAGUUCAAAAUAUCUCAGGCAUGGAAAGGGCUUGGAAAGAUUCGCUUUCUUUAACCUUAGGCUGGAUUUGGUCCAUGGGCCACAGGCUCUCUACCUCCUCCAGUCAAUCUUUCCCAAGGCCUUCCAUUGCCUUUCUUACACACCUGCUUCUCCUGCUUCUAAAAGCAUUUGCUUAAAUCACUGAUAAGGACUAGGUACUUGAUUGGGUAUUUCUUCCAAAGCUCCCAUUUAGGCAGAAGACAAUGGAUAAGCAAACACAUUUUUUAAAAAAGCUUUUACCCGCCCCCCCUCUCCUAAUAUGCUCAUCCUUCAUUCUGGAAAACCUUUUGCAAUCAAAUGAUUGGCAGCUACAAGGCCACUGCUUUGCAUUUUAAAACUAAUCUUUGUCUUUUAAUUAAGGCCUGUUGUAAGAAAUGUCUUUCCUUUUCCACCCCGCCUGAACACCCCACCUUUAAUGUAAACAUCCUAUUUUAUUCAUCCACGAGGCUCUUCUUAUUUGAUGUAUGGUUUAAUUAUGCCUCCAGUCACUCACUCUUAGAGAGAGAAAGGGAAUGGAAAUUAGUUCUAAUUAUGCUUGCUGCUUAUAUCAUUUUUGUUCUACAAGAUGAAACUGCCAGCCUCUAUUAUUUGGCAUUUUCUCUGAAAUAAAUAGCAUGAGAUGAAUUAGCUAAUUGUUAUUUUUUCACAUGAAAAAUACAUACCAUUUCUUUCGCCCCAUAGGACGCACCUAGUUUUUUGGGGGGGGAAAUAAAGAAAACAAAAUUCCCCCCCCCAGGCACGGGGCUGGCGUGGGGGAAGCCCGAGCUUCCCCCGACCCCAGCCCCCAGAACAGCCUGAUAUCCGCAAGCCUAGGGAGCUGCGCCGGAGGGUUGCGCGGAGCUGCGCGGAGCCCGGGAGCGCAGGCAGCUCUGCGCAAUCCUCGGGAGCCCGGUGCAGCUUCGUGGCGGGCUCCAGAGGGUUGCAUGGAGCUGCGCCGAGCCCGGGAGCGCAGGCAGCUCUGCGCAACCUUCAGGAGCCCGCCGUGGCUUUGCGCACCGACCCCUCUCGCUCUCCAGGCUUCAGCGAAAGCCUGUAUUCGCCCCAUAGGACGCACACACAUUUCCCCUUCAUUUUUGGAGGGGAAAAAGUGCAUCCUAUAGGGCGAAAAAUACGGUAUAUACAUUUUGAAUCGCUUUUCAAAUGCGCAGUGCUUUGUCACAAUAAAUAGCCUUCACGCUUUAGGACGUAGUAGCUUGUGUUAAUGGACUUCUGUGCUGUUGGUGCAUCUCCCACUUUGCGACUGACUGUGAGUGGCAGACAUGUUUCGUAUCUUCACAGAAGGUUCAACAAAAGUUUCUACAACCCCCAGAAUUCGUCUUUUAAAACCAGCUGCUGGGAAACUCGAAGUGUUCAAAUUGUGAUUUACUGGUUCUUUAUAGGCUUAGCAUGUAGUUUAUUACUUUUGGGGAUCCCACCUGGACAGCUAAGCUUUAUAUCUGCAUGGUAGCAGAGUUGUGAAUCGCCCAGAACCAAAAAGCCAGUUCUCCAUCUAACGACCAAAAUAUGUGUUGUUAACUGUUUAGUUCUGCCUUUGAGUCAGGGGUGGGUUUUUGUUUUUUUGUCAGUGUGAGGGGCCUGACAAUUGGGGGUAGUGGGCUUUAACCUGUUACGCACACACCCUGGUUGUCACGGUCUGGUUCAUGGGUGAUCGAAGUCUCGGCAGGGGACGUCAGGACCGGGGGCAAGAUGGCGGGGAGGGAGCAGGAACGGGGGUCCAGAAGCCAGGAAGCCAAGAGUCUGAGGGUCCGAGGGUCAGGAAGCAAGGAGUCACAAAGUCAAGGGUCCAAGGAUCAAGAAGCAAGGAGUCACGAAGCCGAGGUUCAAGGAUCAGGAAGCAAGAGGCCAAACGCAGCAAGGCAGGAAGCGUGUUGCUGUGGCAAAGAGCUGAAGGGAAAUCCUGACCUUAUAUCCCUUCCCAGCUCUAGCCACCAGUGAGUUACCAAUCGGCCUCACCUGUGCGGCCACACCUUGCCUCUUCAGAACAAACUUAGGAAGGCCCCUGUUAAGCUGUGGGUGAACAUAUCAGACAACACAGUGAUUCUUCAAACAGCUCUUGUUUAUUCACAGGCCAGAACUGAACUGAAGGGUUCAGUCAGCCUGCUUAUAUAGAGCUCCAGUACAACGUAACUAUAACAAUUUUCUAAAACUAUCCAAUCACUGAACGUCACUUUCGAUCCCUUAUUUGCAUAAUUAUCUACAGUAUCCCCCUGCUAGCCCAGGGUGAGAACUUCAGUACAUAACAGCCCCAGUCCUGCAAAGUCCUAUUGGUCACAGAGCCUGGCUCCUGUACACACACCUGACACUGGUGGUCCAAGGUGGAUGUUCCCCCCACCCCACAGGAGGGAAGGUCAUUGAAUCAGGAUCACAGCAAGGGGCAAAGGGUUAACACCACUGCCCUCUAGCCACCUUACUAGAGUCCAAGGCAGGGCUGAAAUUGCAGGACUAUGGCUCUGAGUAAUCAACUUGCUCCUAGAGAGGCUGUAACCAGACUGAGCCUUUUGGGCUGAUCAGGUGCUGAUUCUCUCCAGGCUGCUACAGCAUAGGGGAAAACCAGAACCACAACAGCAGUGGAUACCGGGAGCGGGGUACCCUCUCCUCCCCACACCCUGAAUCUCCCCCCAAUAAUAUAUAACUGGAUCUCUUUGAACUGCUCCAAGACUACCUGAAGACUGGAGGAGUGAUGCUUUGCAGAGAGUGUUAGAAUUGACUGAGGAAUGUUCUGAUACAAGUACAGUGGUACCUCGCAAGACGAAUGCCUCGCAAGACAAAAAACUCGCUAGACGAAAGGGUUUUUUGUUUUUUGAGCUGCUUCGCAAGACAAUUUUCCCUAUGGGCUUGCUUCGCAAGACGGAAACGUCUUGCAAGUUUGUUUCCUUUGUCGUCACACCGGUAAUACAGUUGCGACGUGACUUCGAGGAGCAACUCAUAGAACGCGGUGUGGUAGCCUUUUUUGAGGUUUUUAAAGACUUAGGUGAUUUUUGAAGCUUUUCCAAAACUUUCCCGACACCGUGCUUCGCAAGACAAAAAAAAUCGCAAGACGACAAAACUCGCAGAACGAAUUAAUUUCGUCUUGCGAGGCAUCACUGUAUUGGAUCUCUGAGUGACCAGGACCAUUCUUAGACCAUUCUGCCACAGGGGAUGCAAACGGGAUUUUGCGGUCCCAAAUUAUAUGGUGACCAGUAGACAGACUAACUCCAUAUGAAAAACAAGAGAGAAAUAAUGAUUCACUGGUGCAUGUGAGCACCAAUAAAUAAUUAUGCUUUUUUACUUUAUGGAACUGUUUUUGCCUCACCCGGUACAAGUCAUCUGCUCAUAAUCUGAUAAUUACACUUUGCAGCGGUAAAUAUCACACACAUCAUUCCUUGGUAGUGGGAGUUUAAUUUCCCCAUCUCUUUAACUAAAAUUGAAAGCUCACAAGGAACUAAAGUGCACUGCAAGGAAAGAACUAGGUAUCACUCAGGAGUGAACUUUGCAAUUCUCCGCUCUUCAGAGCCAUUUGGCAAAAUACGGUCUGAGUCAUCUACAACUAGAAUUGCUUUUUUUCCGUGGUGGGGGAAGUGGGGGACAAAUUUAUAAGCUGUGAAUUAACUUUUCUAACUGAAUGUUAUGGACGCUGUCCUCACCUCAGGCUGCAGUGUGAUUACUGGGCCUGAUUUUUUAAAUAAAAAAACCAACAGUGAAAAUUAUAAAAAUAGCAUCUAUAAGGAUGAGCCAACUUAUUAGAUUCCCCUUGGAGGGAAAAUAAGUUUUCUAUCUCCAAUCCAGGAUUUUGCAUCUUCAUUUCCUUGAGUUGCCUCAGGUUUUGUUGGCAUGGAUCAAUUGCUACAUGACUUUUGUUAUGUUAAUUACCGUUAAUCAUGUGUGUGGUAAUGUAGAGCUGCCUUGCACUCCCCCAGUGCUGUCUUCUUAUUUAUUUAUUGCAUUUAUAUCACACCUUUUGAUCCAAGGAGCUCAAGGUGGUAUACAUGCCCCCCCCAUUUAAUCCUCACAACAACCCUGUGAAGUAGGUUAACCUGAGAGGCAGUGACUGGCCCAAGGUCACCCAAUGGGGCCAAGUUGGUAUUUGAGCCCUGGUCUCCCUGGUGGUGCUGUGGGUUAAACCACAGAGCCUAGGACUUGCUGAUCAGAAGGUCAGUGGUUUGAAUCCCUGCAACGGGGUGAGUUCCCGUUGCUCGGUCCCAGCUCCUGCCCACCUAGCAGUUCGAAAGCACAUCAAAAUGCAAGUAGAUAAAUCGGUACCAUUCUGGUGGGAGGGUAAAUGGCGUUUCCGUGUGCUGCUCUGGUUCGCCAGAUGCGACUUAGUCAUGCUCGCCACAUGAUUCGGAAGCUGUACGCCGGCUCCCUCGGCCAAUAAAGGGAGAUGAGCGCCGCAACCCUAGAGACUGGACCUAAUGGUCAGGGGUCCCUUUACCUUUAUCUUUACUCCCUGGUCCUAAUCAUUGUACCAUACUGGCUCUCUUACUGGUAACAACUCUCUAGGGUCUCAGACAAAAGUCUUUCCUCUCACCUACAGACCUUUUAACUGUACCUCGAGUUACAGUCACUCCCAGUUGAUAUGCACCUAGUACCACAACCAUGUCUUCCACCAUGCUUUUCUACCUAAAGCUCUUGCUAGAACCACAUCUCCCAUAGUCCUCUGCACCAUGGCACACUGUUAACCAGUGUUCUCCCAGCAUGCCUUUCGACUGCUCCUGCUACCACCUAUUUGUUGAAAAGGAAAGAGAGUGACGAGCGAGUAUUUGAAGGGGUUGAUAUUUGGGGGUUUGGGGAUGUGGGAGGGGAGCUGCAAAUCCUUCUCUGGCUCAGACUGAAAUCCAGACCAGAAGAGAACUUUGGGGGCUCAUAAAACUUACCUCUUGUUUUGAGGCAGGCUUUAUGAGUCUUCAGUGUCCAUAUCUGAGUCUGGCUUGGCAGAAUUUUGCAGCAUCUCUAGCUCAGAUAUUGGCUAAGUGCUCAUUCCUUUUUGCAAUUAGAAAAGAGAGAGAAAAUGAACACUUAGGACAGUUUCAGGUCUCAAAACUCCUAAAGGUCACCCUUUUGAAUAUAUUGGUAAAGUUUCUAAAUCCUUCAGUUACAGCACAAAACCCAUGAGGAUGUCUGGCCCAGUCAUUCUGUCCAAUUGAUUUUAGUUAGCUUUCUAAAGUGCAUGUUUUCUCCAGCUCAUGUUUCAAUUUGUUGUUCACCUCAUGGCCCUCUUGACACCAUAUAAACUCCGCACAAACACUGUCAUCAUUAAAUGUAAUCUCUUUCUCCAUUAUUCAAGGCCCUAUUUAUCUUGCAGCCCCAGAGAGACCAGCCAGGAUGAAUUAAUGCUAACAGCUCUAAAUCUGCAGAUAAUCUCUAGGGUUAUUUUACCAUACACAGUUCCUAGAAAGGUCCUUGUCAACCACUUGCUGCUCAGCUCCAGGUCUGGAAAUCAUCACAAUUCAGAGCACGUUCUUCGAAACAUUAAUCAUUGUUUGUUUUUAAUAAACCUAGUCACAAAAUUGGUUUUGAUUCUUAUGCAUUGCUAGAAAUUUCAGCGAAUGAACCAGGAAAAACUGACUGUGUGCAAAGGUAUUUGAUUCCAUAACUCCUUCAUAGCAACUCCCCUGUGAGGAAAAGGUGGGAGGAGUUUUUAGUUUAGAGGAAAGGCAAGUAAGAUGUGACAUGAUAUAAAUUUGUAAAAUUAUGCAUUGUGUGGAGAAAGUGGAUCGAGAAACCAACCCCCCCAACCAACACUAGAACCAGUGAAGCUGAAAGUUGGAAGAUUCAGGACAGGUAAAAUAAAUUACUUCUCAACGCAGCACAUAGUUAAACCAUGAAACUUGCACUAAUUUGGUUAGUUACUCUGUGCAGGCUCCAAGGCCUCAUCAAGAAUAAAGUUUUUCAUAUCAUUAACUCAGUUUGAAGUGAGUUCCUACAUGAAUGGCGGAAGACAAAACAGGGCCAGAGUCAAAAAUAGACAGGUAGCAGCACGCUACAAGGUCACCUCUUUCCAGUCUCUUCUUUUGCGUCUUCCUUCCACUCAAUCUCUUUUCCUUCCUUCCUUCCUAUAUAAAAUGAAGUGCUGGUACUCAUAUCUUGAUAAAUGUGGUGUGGGUGCCAACACAAAAUGGGUGCCACAAGCAGCAAAAAGAGGUGCUAGCACCCAAGGCAUUUUGGCACCAGAGGUGAACCACAAAAUGACGCCCCUGCACCAUAGGAAAACGGGUGAGGAAAGAUUUGCUUUGGGAACAAUGUGGGGAAGGGGUUGGCCAAAUCAACCUUACUGAAUGAUUGAAGUGUGAAUCAAAGGUAGUGGGUGGGGAGGGGCUCACAGAACCAUGCCGGGCAGGUGCAGAGCCCAGGAGACCACAGAGGUCAGCCCUCCCCAUUUCCUCCUAGGGGUGGGAGCAAGGCCAUCUUAAGCAUAUGUGGCGCCGGGGUGCAAAGAUCCGACCAGCGCCCCUAGAUUGCCCAGAGUUGUCAACCUUUUUUAGGGAGAGAACCCCCAAAGUUGUUGACCUUUUUUUAAGGGAACAGUUUACCUUUAGAACAGUUGGGGGAUGCAACAAAUGUGGGUGCAUAUUAUGUUUGCUGACUGGGAACAGUUAUGGACCACAGGUAUGAAGUUUACGGCAUGUAAUGCCUUAAGAGAGAAUAUUAUGAAAAUGAUAUACAGGUGGUACAUGACCCCAGUCAAGCUUGCAAAAAUCUAUCAUUUGCCUGACAAUAAAUGUUGGAAAUGUAAAGAAACUGAAGGUACAUUCUUUCACCUUUGGUGGACGUGCCCAAGGAUUAAGGCUUUCUGGGAGAUGAUUUAUAAUGAAAUAAAAAAGGUAUUUAAAUAUACCUUUCUGAAGAAACCAGAGGCCUUUCUUCUGGGCAUUGUCAGCCAAUUGGUGCCAAAGAAGGACAGAACCUUUUUUAUGUAUGCUACAACAGCAGCAAGAAUACUCAUAGCAAGGUAUUGGAAGACACAAGAUCUACCCACUCUGGAAGAAUGGCAGAUGAAGGUGAUUGACUACAUGGAACUGGCGGAAAUGACUGGCAGAAUCCGAGACCAGGGAGAAGAGUCGGUGAAAGAAGACUGGAAGAAAUUUAAAGACUAUUUACAGAAAUAUUGUAAAAUUAAGGAAUCUUAGAAGGAUGUUGGAUAGAAACUAAG